UACGGGGGGGGCAAGCGUUGUUCGGAAUUACUGGGCGUAAAGGGCUCGUAGGCGGCCAACUAAGUCAGACGUGAAAUCCCUCGGCUUAACCGGGGAACUGCGUCUGAUACUGGAUGGCUUGAGGUUGGGAGAGGGAUGCGGAAUUCCAGGUGUAGCGGUGAAAUGCGUAGAUAUCUGGAGGAACAUCGGUGGCGAAGGCGGCAUCCUGGACCAAUUCUGACGCUGAGGAGCGAAAGCCAGGGGAGCAAACGGG
rnacentral:rRNA from 1 species